UCGCUGCGGUGCUGCAGCAGCUCCAGGGGCCGGGAUGCGUAGAGGUCGGACUCGAUCACCACCUGCGGGGGGAGGAAGGACCGUCAGCUUGUUCCUCCCCUAGAAUCUCAGCCUCCACAGCCGAGGCCAGGACUGCAGCUUUGCGGACGGACCUCGUGCUGACACGGAGCCUUCCUGACUCCAGCCACUGCUGGGAGCAGCGAGGAAACCUGGGGAGACUGGCCUGAAACGGUGAACUGUUGUGUUUAACUUCAGCAUGUCCAGUGGCACCAUGGUGCAGGAAAAUGAGGUUUCUGGGGGCUCCUCAUCAGCCGUCCCUUCACAGAGUCAGAAGCCUGGGCCCUCAGGCCCCAGGCUGGGGCCAGUUAACUGCCCCGGGGCUGGACAUAGUUUGACAAUAGAACAGGCUAUUUGAAAUGAGGACAGGCCCUGGAAAUCGGGCUCUUACAGUCUUUGCAGCUCAGUGGGCGCCCUUGUUCACGUAGAGGACAGCUUUCUGGAUGCUCCAGCAGAGGGGAGACCUAGGCAGAGGACUCGGGGCCCCGCUGAUUCCCAGGUUGUGAAAAGGAAGAACCUGCUGGCCAUAAGAAGCAGGCACGGCUCCCGGACGCUCACGUUUCCUCCGCUUUGCAGAGUGCCUGUCAGCUGGAGCUGGGAGAUGAGUUUCCACGACCUGUGGCUCGCACUGCACUCUGCCAUGGUGUCGCCCAGAAUUCCUAGAUUUAUGGCAUUUUGGACACGUGUACCAUUUGGCCUCAGGGUUCCCCCUGGAAUGUGGACCUCCAGGUCCAACGGGAGAGACCUGAGCCUCAUUACUGACAUUCAAGCCUUUGGCUGUCUACAUCUCAUCACAGGGAAACUGAGGCCAAAGGAAGCCGUGUGUCUUCAAGGUCACAGAGCUCUAAGGGGCAGAGCCUGAACAAGGAUCAUGGUUUCAUAACUUCUAAGGAAGUGCUCUUUGUAAGACCCAUGGAAGUGCUGACAUCCAGAAACAACCACAAACACUGUCAAAACAGAGAGACCGUCCGACCUCAGAAACCUGGGGGUAAACCGUAAUAAGGCAGCAUAUGACUGUCUUUACCCUCCUGCUUAACCUGCCACGUUAAGGAAACAGUCAAGGGCAAUUUUACUCACCCUUGGAAGGAAUCACGGUGGUGAAAACUUCUAUAUUUUCAUCACUGCAGCUGUACAUCUGAUGCAUCGUUUCAGCCUUCU